CCCGGGGGCGGGGCGCAGCGAAGCGGGCUCCAGCUGUCUGCUCCUGCGGGUGGCAGGGCUGAGGGCACAGCCGGAGAGCGGCGCGCCGCGGACUCCCGGGCAGCCCGGAAAGGAACCUGCUUAUCAGAGAGUCACUGAUCCUGCUCAUCUAGAGAACUGUUCUCAGGAUUUACAGACAAGAG
rnacentral:lncRNA from 1 species